GUGCUUACUUAGGCAGCACAUAUACUAAAAUUGUAAUAAUACAGAGAAGGUUAGCAUGGCCCCUGUGCAAGGAUGACACACAAAUUCAUGAAGCAUUCCAUAUUUAA
rnacentral:snRNA from 1 species